GGAAACGACGUGCCAGCAGCGGGGGUAAUACGGGGGGGGCGGGGUUGGUCCGGAAUGACUGGGCGUAAAGAGCUCGUAGGUGGGUUGUCGCGUUGUCCGUGAAAACGCACAGCUGAACUGUGGGCGUGCGGGCGAUACGGGCAGACUAGAGUACUGCAGGGGAGACUGGAAUUCCUGGUGUAGCGGUGGAAUGCGCAGAUAUCAGGAGGAACACCGGUGGCGAAGGCGGGUCUCUGGGCAGUAACUGACGCUGAGGAGCGAAAGCGUGGGGAGCGAACAGGAUUAGAUACCCCUGUAGUC
rnacentral:rRNA from 1 species